GCCCCCGUAGCUCAGGGGAUAGAGCAACGGUUUCCUAAACCGUGGGUCGUACGUUCGAAUCGUAUCGGGGGCG
rnacentral:tRNA from 1 species